AAGGAAUAUUGGACAAUGGUCGCAAGACUGAUCCAGCCAUGCCGCGUGCAGGAAGACGGCCCUAUGGGUUGUAAACUGCUUUUGUACCAGAGAAAACCUAUCUACGUGUAGAUAGCUGAUAGUAUGGUAAGAAUAAGCAUCGGCUAACUUCGUGCCAGCAGCCGCGGUAAUACGAAGGAUGCAAGCGUUAUCCGGAAUUAUUGGGUUUAAAGGGUGCGUAGGCGGACUAAUAAGUCAGUGGUGAAAGCCUGCAGCUUAACUGCAGAAUUGCCAUUGAUACUGUUAGUCUUAAGGACAGUUGAGGUAGGCGGAAUGUGUCAUGUAGCGGUGAAAUGCUUAGAUAUGACACAGAACACCGAUUGCGAAGGCAGCUUGCUAAGCUGUAACUGACGCUGAGGCACGAAAGCGUGGGGAGCAAACA
rnacentral:rRNA from 1 species